AUUGAACGCUGGCGGCAUGCCUUACACAUGCAAGUCGAACGGUAACAGGUCUUCGGGUGCUGACGAGUGGCGAACGGGUGAGUAAUACAUCGGAACGUGCCCGAGAGUGGGGGAUAACGAGGCGAAAGCUUUGCUAAUACCGCAUACGAUCUCAGGAUGAAAGCAGGGGACCGCAAGGCCUUGCGCUCACGGAGCGGCCGAUGGCAGAUUAGGUAGUUGGUGGGAUAAAAGCUUACCAAGCCGACGAUCUGUAGCUGGUCUGAGAGGACGACCAGCCACACUGGGACUGAGACACGGCCCAGACUCCUACGGGAGGCAGCAGUGGGGAAUUUUGGACAAUGGGGGCAACCCUGAUCCAGCCAUGCCGCGUGAGUGAAGAAGGCUUUCGGGUUGUAAAGCUCUUUCGGACGGGAAGAAAUCGUGGUGGCUAAUAUCUGCCAUGGAUGACGGUACCGUAAUAAGAAGCACCGGCUAACUACGUGCCAGCCGCCGCAGUAACAC
rnacentral:rRNA from 1 species